AGUACGAACGGUAACAGGAAGCAGCUUGCUGCUUUGCUGACGAGUGGCGGACGGGUGAGUAAUGUCUGGGAAACUGCCUGAUGGAGGGGGAUAACUACUGGAAACGGUAGCUAAUACCGCAUAACGUCGCAAGACCAAAGAGGGGGACCUUCGGGCCUCUUGCCAUCGGAUGUGCCCAGAUGGGAUUAGCUAGUAGGUGGGGUAACGGCUCACCUAGGCGACGAUCCCUAGCUGGUCUGAGAGGAUGACCAGCCACACUGGAACUGAGACACGGUCCAGACUCCUACGGGAGGCAGCAGUGGGGAAUAUUGCACAAUGGGCGCAAGCCUGAUGCAGCCAUGCCGCGUGUAUGAAGAAGGCCUUCGGGUUGUAAAGUACUUUCAGCGGGGAGGAAGGGAGUAAAGUUAAUACCUUUGCUCUUUGACCUUACCCGCACAACAAACACCGGCUCCCUCCUUGCCACCACCCCCGGCAAUACGGAAGGAGCAAGCGUUAAUCCUAAUUACUGGAUUUUAAGCGCACACAGGCGGCUUGUUAAGUUUGAUGUCAAAAGUCAAGGCUCCGCCUGGCACC
rnacentral:rRNA from 1 species